GAACUGCGAUAAGUAAUGUGAAUUGCAGAAUUCAGUGAAUCAUCGAGUCUUUGAACGCACAUUGCGCCCCCUGGCAUUCCGGGGGGCAUGCCUGUCCGAGCGUCAUUGCUGCCCUUCAAGCCCGGCUUGUGUGUUGGGUCGUCGUCCCCCCCGGGGGACGGACCCGAAAGGCAGCGGCGGCACCGUGUCCGGUCCUCGAGCGUAUGGGGCUUUGUCACCCGCUCGAUUAGGACCGGCCAGGCGCCCGCCGGCGUCAAACCCCAAUCUUUCUAAGGUUGACCUCGGAUCAGGUAGGGAUACCCGCUGAACUUAAGC
rnacentral:misc_RNA from 1 species